UCCCGAGCGGUGGGCCGACCGGCGCCUUUCCCUGCGUGCCUCCUCCACGGCGCGCAUGCGCGGGGCCUGGCGGCGUCGAGGCAGCUGAUUGGCGCGGUGCGGAGCUGGGACACGGCGGGCAGUGACGGGCCGACACAGGCUCCUGCGUGGGGAUUUGUGGCGAACUGCAGCUGCUAUUACAAAUGUCUGCUGUUACGUUAAAGACAGAGGAGAGCAUCCAGUGUUCGGGACUCACCCCAGCUCACCAUCCGUGUGCAUCCAGGUGGAAGCAAUUCUCACCUCAUUCUGGGAGUCAGAAGCUUUCUGCCUGAUUUUCCUUCUUCCUGUGCCACCAUAGACCUAACGCCGGCCACAGAACAGCUUGUGGUGACAGCAGUUCAGCUCCAUUUUCUCCAUGGGGGCAUCUACACUGUGGUGCGCUUGCCCAGAUCUCCUGUGUGGCACUGUAAGGUGGCCCCUUAAAUCGUAAUAACUAUUCUUCAUGUUUAUUCAGUUCCAAAAGCUUGUAGUAGACAGAGGCUGUGUAGCAGGCCAUCUGAGUGUCACCUGAAUGGCAUUGCGCAGUGGGACUGGGCUGCAUGCUUGGUGGUGUGGGAAUCUGUGUGGUGUCAUGGUGAGCUGGCUCUGUUUUGAAGGACUGGCUUGGAAGGGUGGUGGCACAGCCUCAUUCCUGCUGGUCACAGGCAGGACUGUGCGCUGGUUUCUUCCUAGAGAGAAGCAGUCAGCUUCAAAGAAAAGCACACAAGUGGAUGAACGCAUUCAGAUGUGAACAACUGGGGACCAGGUCCUGGAAUGGAACCAAAGAAUUAAGCUAUCAAACAGAACAGACGUAGCCUUAGUUUGUUUUCCAUCUUUAAAACCUGAAUUGGCAGCUUUACUCCAGAUGCGUCCUCCAGUUCUAAAUGUACUACACUCUGUUUGAAACUUCUCAGCAGGAACAAUCAUUUUUCUCUCAUUGUUCCUUCUUUUGAGUUUUCAUUUGUUUUAUCUCCUCCUAUUUUUCUUUCUGUCCUUCCCUACCUCAUUUGAUUGUCAUGCCUAGAUCUUGCCAAAGUUUCUUUUGUCACUAUUCCUCUCUUCUUUUUUUCAGGUCCAUGUUGCUCCUCUACAUCUCUCUCAAAAAAAACCCUCUCUCCAUUUUGGUCCUUUGCCUCUCACCCCUUCUGACUAAGUCCCAUUCUGUCCUACAUUUUCUAGUAGCUCCUGGUUUAGACAGCAACAGUGUUCCCAAGUCACUUUUAAUAAUGAGACACAGGCAAUCAGCAUUGAUGGGGGGAUUAGAACAAUUAAUUACGCUGUCAAAAUCCUUCAGACAAUUUGUUUUCUUUGGAGUUGUCGGAGUUUGGAAGAGAAGUAGUUUUCUAGGAUCUUCCAGAUGUUUUUCUUCUAGCAGUUGCAGAAAAAUAGAUUGAGAAAUUAUGAUUUGUUUGUCAUUCUGAUUGCUUUUCUGCAUUAUCAUUUGGAAAACACUGAAGGACCAAGAUGCCAAUGAAGUUAUAAUGUCAUUUUUCAUGCUUGAAUUAUUUAUCUUUUUAUGCCAUUCCUCUCUGUGCCUCCCAUUAUGUUACUUUCUUUUUUUUAGUCCCAGGAGUAAUUAGUAUUACAAUAUACAGAGAAGCACUGCUGUAGAAAAGGCUGUAUUCAUUUACAUAGUAAACUCACAAGGAAAAGAAGCUGUUACUUUACUCUCUUGCAUAAGCCAAACUACCGUGGAAUUAUUUGAACAUAACAUUGAUCCGUUUGAAAACUGGGAAGAAAACAGACAUAUUUUCUGUUGUUGCUGGAUCUCAUUGGUAUGAAAACUGAAAUCUUAUGUCUGAGAUUCAGUUCAGUCCUUUUGCAUUUUGAGAUCAUAUAUGUGUUUCUGGUAUAUAUAAAGGUAUAGUUUUAUCCAGAAUCAAGAUCUUAGACUUUGUGUCUGCAAGACUUAAGCAAACUCUCUAAACAAACACUUUGUGAAACCUCUGUGUACAUAGAAAGAUUUUUAAAGAAACCAACUGUUUGUAAUUUAUGCUUUAUACAUAGGCAUCCCUUUUCUGCUCUGUUCUGUUUCACAGCACCUUACACACAACUUUCUUUUCAAUACAGCUCUAUAUAACACCUGCCUUUUUCACACGGGCAGAAUAUUUUUGAACAACACUCACUUGAGAACAACUACAAUUCCAGAUUCUUCCCUGCAGGAUUGUUGCCAUUCCCUGCCUGACUUUUCUUUUUCGGGUUCUGCUCUCUGUUUCCAGGUAGAAAACACUGAUUUACAUCCUCUCUUUCAGUCCACUCUUCCCAUUUUACAAAUAACUCUGCGUUCUCAUCCUCUGCCCCUCUGUUUUAUGUCUCCUCAGAAUUAAAUGGGAGAUUCUGUGUUCCCUUAUCCCUUGCUAAUAAGAAAAAUGAAUAGUACAGGCACAAGGAAAGACUUCACCAGAAUUAUGUUACCAGUGGUAUCACAGAUCACUAACUAUUAAUUGAUUGUGGGCUUUUUGGAGUCUUAGGGGAUAAAAAGAGAGCUGUGUGGAAAACGUGCCAUCAGGCGGCAGCGCAGCCCCAGGAUGGAAGCGUCUCUGCACUUUCUCCUGCAGCCGGUGGCAAACCCAGAGCUACCGAACAGUGACUCAAACUGUUCUGUCAGUGAGGCACUGGAGGUUGCUCAGUUACUUGGGAGAGUAAUGUUAGGAUAAUAUGAAGGGAACCAACUGAAAAUUAGCUGGUUACCCUGGAAAGGGUGCGACUGCUUGGUGUUACUUCCCCAGUUGUAGCUGUGGUGUUUCUUUCCUUUCCCUGAGCACAAAAAGGGGAUGCUUAGUACCCAAUCUGUCCCCUGGCUCCCUCAGGGGAAGGAGUGCCUACUUUAGAUUUGUCCUUCAAUAAUUUUGGUGUUAAUCUGGUUUUAAUGAAGCUCAUAAAUUUGAACGGAGUCAAACUUACACAACCCUUCUCCCCACACUCCCCACACCAAAGAAACUCAACUGUACUUGUUGCAAAGCUUUUUGAACCUCUGCAAAAUCCAAGCCAGUCCUGUGGUAUACAUUAAGGGCCAUAUAUCACAAAAAAGCCCCACCCUGAGAUAUGUGUCAUGACCAGUCAAUACCAGACUCGUAUGAUCUGAAGUCAUUUUGCACUAGGCCACAUUGUCUCUGACAACCCUUAGUGGAUUCUGAUUCAUUCCUUGCUUACUCUAGUUUUGUGAUCAUAUGAUGCCACUUGCUUUAGCAUGUGUGCAUCUGGAUCCACAUGCAGAAAACCUGCAAAUAAUGAUAGGAGAGAACGCUACACUUAUGAAAGCAGAUCAAAGAAAUAAUUAAGAAUGUUCUUUAAUCUGGCUUCCGGAGCUUUGAUACUAAAAUACACUCUUGUGCCUUUGGAGGACUCAGGAAUAAAACUCAUCUCUCUAAUCUCACACUUUCAGGAAUUCUUUUCUUUUGCCAUGAUUAAGGGCAUUCAAAAUUAUUUUCAGUUAUGCAACCAAGACUGCUCUAAAUGCAUACAAAUAAAAUGGGGAGUGGGGAGUGAAUUAAGUAAGAAACAGUCUUCUGCUUUUCAGAGAUGUGAAGAGCAGUCCCUCCAGUCUGACAAUUUUCUGUUCAGGUGUUUUCUUUUAUUGAGAAUGGUUGAAAAGCAUUUAAAUACAAAAAUUUGUUAAGGGAACUUGGCUAACUUUCGCCAAACCACGGAAUCCCUUCUGGUAAUCUGCAUGUGACUUCCCGAGUGAGUAGAAUGAACCCCAUAUUAGUACUUUGUUCCUCACUUUUAAAAUCAGAUACAGCUUUGUUAAAGCUGAAUUCAGUGUCACCUGGUCCUGAACAUCACAAGGCAAUGCCUACACAUUUUUUUCUAAAAGUUAUUUUCUUGGUAACAUUAAAUGGGAUCUUCCGUAUAAUUUUGGCCUAAAAACUCAGAAUAUUUUGGCUGUGUUAUUGGUUUACAUUUGGAUAUUAGAUUUGUGCUUGCAUUACUAUCGCUUAGGCAAGUCCUGAACAAGUGGCCGAAGGCAGCACUAGUCCAAGGCCUCUCCAGUUUUGGGGAGUCUGAGCCAGAUAAGCAAAAUUUGGAGUUGUGUCCUGUGCCCCGGGCAGAAAGGAGUGGAAAGAGCUAUAAAACUGUAAGGAGAGCUGUAUGGAGCUGGGUUUGUGGCUCCCGGGGCCUGGGUGCUGAUGGGGAGCAUGGACACCAUGCCCUGCCAGAGCAGCACUGCUGCCCCAUGGACUUCUCUGCCAGCAGCAGCAACCAGCAAGACUUUCCAGGGCCCCAGAACCAGCAAAAUAAGGAGUAGGGCCAUGAUAAUUUUGUUGCCCCUGGCAGUCACCUGUCUUAGGCAAAUCCUAGUUUUCCCCAUGUUUCUAGCUGAUCCUCCACAAGAAUGGCUUUUUAUUCCGGUAACGUAUCUCCUUGAUGUGUUUCCCUUGCCUACAAACCCUAGGAGUCUUUGUCUGAAGGGCCAAGGUGUGCUGCAAACAGAUUUGCUUGCAAAAAUAUUUGCUGAACAGUAAUUCACUAUAAAGCCAUGCAAAAGGGAAGAAGGGGCGAGUAUCUCUUCAGAAAGCAGCUGGUGGAGACUACGAAGUGUAACUACCAUCUUGAUGAGAACAAGGUUUACCAUACUGCUUUUCAGAUUUUGAGUCUUCUCCAGGCUCAAUCAAAAUCAAUGAGAAGCUUCCUAUUGAUUUCUGUGUGUUUUCAGUAAAGCUCUUUGUGUAUUAGCUUUCAAAUGUAUUGAUAUGUUUAUGUUUGCAGUCAAACAUACAAGACCAAAACACUUUGACAUAAACCACGCAAAUCAUUAAAAGAUUU